ACCUCUAUAGCAUAACGGAUAGUGCAACAGAUUUCUAAUCUGUGUUGUAUAGGUUCGAAUCCUAUUAGGGGUA
rnacentral:tRNA from 1 species